CUUGCACCUUUCAAGCGAGUGGCGAACGGGUGAGUAACACGUGGAUAACCUGCCUCAAGGCUGGGGAUAACAUUUGGAAACAGAUGCUAAUACCGAAUAAAACUUAGUAUCGCAUGAUACAAAGUUGAAAGGCGCUACGGCGUCACCUAGAGAUGGGUCCGCGGUGCAUUAGUUAGUUGGUGGGGUAAAGGCCUACCAAGACAAUGAUGCAUAGCCGAGUUGAGAGACUGAUCGGCCACAUUGGGACUGAGACACGGCCCAAACUCCUACGGGAGGCUGCAGUAGGGAAUCUUCCACAAUGGGCGAAAGCCUGAUGGAGCAACGCCGCGUGUGUGAUGAAGGCUUUAGGGUCGUAAAGCACUGUUGUAUGGGAAGAAAUGCUAGAAUAGGGAAUGAUUCUAGUUCGACGGUACCAUACCAGAAAGGGACGGCUAAAUACGUGCCAGCAGCCGCGGUAAUACGUAUGUCCCGAGCGUUAUCCGGAUUUAUUGGGCGUAAAGCGAGCGCAGACGGUUGAUUAAGUCUGAUGUGAAAGCCCGGAGCUCAACUCCGGAAUGGCAUUGGAAACUGGUUAACUUGAGUGUUGUAGAGGUAAGUGGAACUCCUGGUUAACCG
rnacentral:rRNA from 1 species